UUGCAUUUUUAUUUUAUUGCAGUGUUAUGAGAAGGGCAGACCAGUGAGGAUUCAGAUCGAUGGGGUGCUCCUCCUAAACUUCGGAGAUGAAUUGCAGCCCGCGGCCUCUUCUACUGCACACCCAAGGGUGACAACCUCCACUGACUAGCAUCUUAGAUGCCCCUCGGCCACAUCGCCGCGUGAGAUAUUUUCAACGAAGAACCGCCAAAGCCUGAGGCAUGUUACAUUGGUACCCAAUAACAAUUUGAUUACGUCAUACCAGAUAUGAGUGACUAAUCCAGUCAUCCAGAUGACUUCAAUGCAAAUAGGGUAAGGCAUUGUUCUUGCAGGCCAUUUAUUCUAUCUUAUUUCUUGUGGCUUUGAUAUACAAGAUAUACAAUCGUAUGUAUCAUGUAAAUGGGGAAUUUUUCCUCUUUCAUCUGUAUUACAGAAGACACUUUCAGUUUUAUUUUUUUGCUAUUUGCUUAUGUAGUAGCUGGUUCAUGUGCCCAUGUUGUCCGGUAGAUCGCUAGGACAGCAUAUAUGACUAUUUAUUUUCUAAAGUUUAGUAACCUAUGUACCGAAGUCUGAUUCUCAGCGGCUAUUUGAGAAAAAAGGUAGACCGGCAUGUUAAUCCUGAAACACAGAUUUUGGAAGGGAUCGCUGUUCUAAAGUAGGCAAGUUUAUUGAGGCAUCUGCAAUAGCCUAAAAUCUUGGGAUUUUUUCCCAUGCAUGUCUUCAGUUCCAGGCCAUGAAAGAAUAGUUCAAUAAUUAUGCAUACAAUGUUUGUGUUCAGCUAUCUACUUAUCUUACAUAUAGUUCAGCAGGGUGUGCCUACAUACCCUGUCAAAUAUUC